rnacentral:rRNA from 1 species
AUGUGGGUAUCUACCCUUUGGCCUGGAAUAACACGAGGAAACUUGUGCUAAUACCGGAUAAGUCUUUACGGAGAAAGCUUUAUGCACCAUUGGAUGAGCCCGCACUUGAUUAGUUUGUUGGUAGGGUAAUGGCCUACCAAGACUAUGAUCAAUAGCUGAUUUGAGAGGAUGAUCAGCCACAUUGGGACUGAGACACGGCCCAAACUCCUACGGGAGGCAGCAGUGGGGAAUCUUGCACAAUGGAGGAAACUCUGAUGCAGCGAUGCCGCGUGAGUGAAGAAGGCCUUUGGGUUGUAAAGCUCUUUCGUCGGGGAAGAAAAUGACUGUACCCGAAUAAGAAGG